AGUUUUAUAAUAUGAUAUCACACAUGUGUCGGCACAUUAUCCUGGGUGCUUUGAUAUCACUCCUAGCGGUUUAGUUUUUCUGCGCCAAAGGCGUCUAAAACAAAAUGCGCUGAGCGAAUCAUGGUUGGGUAAUGGGGCACAUGGAGGCCUAAC
rnacentral:sRNA from 1 species